GACGAACGCUGGCGGCGUGCCUAAUACAUGCAAGUCGAACGCAGUGGGGACGGGUGAGUAACACGUGGGUAACCUCCCAUCAGAGGGGAUAACACUUGGAAACAGGUGCUAAACCGAUACUGAUGGAUGGACCCGCGGUGCAGUAGCUAGUUGGUGGGGUAACGGCUCACAAAGGCAACGAUGACUAGCCGGCGUGAGAGGAUGAUCGGCCAACCUGGGACUGAGACACGGCCCAGACUCCUACGGGAGGAAGCAGUAGGGAAUCUUCGGCAAUGGACGAAAGUCUGACCGAGCAACGCCGCGUGAGUGAAGAAGGUUUUCGGAUCGUAAAACUCUGUUGUUAGAGAAGCGGUAUCUAACCAGAAAGCCACGGCUAACUACGUGCCAGCAGCGGCGGUAAUUC
rnacentral:rRNA from 1 species